GGACGUCUGACAAUUAGCUCUCGUUUCCUAGGGGCCACAUGUGUCCCCAUUAGUUCCAAGAAUCUCGAAGGCCCAACUCUCGUGUCUCGGAAGAAGAAUGUAAAAGCGACGGCGACCGAACGGUCAUUUCUCGCAUUGUUCUUGGCGCGUCCACUACGGUCAGACUCCCGUGUCCCUCCUUCCACGUGAGGGAUGUAGGUAAUACACGAGUAUAUAUACAAGUCCCAUGCACACGAGGCCCUGCGCUGUGUAUACGCCAUAUGUAACCAGCUCCGCCCACGGACCCGUCACACUUUACCACAUUCGUUUUCUAAGACCUUUACCACAGCCGACGGCAUUAGUUUUAUGGAUGCGUUCCCAAAUCCGAGAAACUUGCGUUACUCCCACCUCCGGCUCUCCAUAAAAUUACCACCGAUUUAUCCGUAAUUCUCGUACGCGCCCGUAUAUACACACUUCCCAUGGGACAUAUCCCAUUCUAUCGGUGGCAUUCACGAGGCGUCAUCCUUUGCGCAAACCGGAAUCCCCAUAGACGCCAUAGAUCGAAGCGUCCCAGUAUCCGCCCCGUAGGAAACUAUUGGUGGUGCCCAAGGUCUCAAUGGUGAAACGAGAUACGUAACCGAAGCGACGCUAUAAAACGGUAAUGGGGCGUCGUGUUUCCUUUUUUCUAUGCCUUUACGCCAACCUCUCGCACCUACGACAUGCCUCUGUCACCAGUGACUGCGGACGAGGCUUAAGGCCCGACUCUGCCAGUAUCUUAAAGAAAAUUAAUUCUCUAGGGAAUUUUUCGUUUUACUUUCAAACGUUGUGACGCCUGGCCAGCUAAUUCAGGUUCGAAUAAAACGGCCACGGAGACUCCGGCGACGCGAGCGACUGCCGUGCCCGGGUCCAUGAAGGAAAUUUCGAGUGUGUCGCCCUGGACGCCGUGACCGGUGCCCCCUCGUAGCCAUAACAACGCUACGUUCGCUUCUCUGUUCUCCUUUCGCAACACGCACGACGUUACACACGGCUCCUACGAAAGAGCCUACCUUUCGUAUACGAAGUCGGUCGCGACUGGAUUCAUUAUUCUUUGUACAGUUAAGGAAAAUAUUAAGGUAUCGAAGGAGUUUCUUUCCUUUUGUUCACGCGAGAACAACAAACGAUUCCUUCCCGAAGUAUCCUCAAGGAAAUUCGACCUGAACGCGGAUUCUCACGAAGCUACCAACAGGACCCCAUACCGCAAGUAGAGCACGGACGCGAACGUCGUUUUCCAAGCCAUUCGAUCUCUCCUUGAAGCAGUACACGGUCUCCUCGCCGUCCCAGAUUGUCUUUGGCAAGGGAUACUUCUUUCUCAGACGAUACUUGUCCACUGCGCCCAGAGGACGACCCCGUACCUUCUCGGCCUCGCGAUAAUGGGACUUGAACCACAUCUGCUGGAGCUCCGGAUGACGACGAGUUCCGUGAAAAGGACGAUAAAAAAGUGCACGAGGCAGAAGGAAGAAGAGCGGCCAUCAUCCCUUUUCUCCCUACGGAGUCUCCGAGAUUUAUGGCAAGGCUAAUUAUUAUUGGGGUCGGAGGAGCCAACAUGUGCGGUGUAGUGAGAGCCGCGAUGGCAACCCUUAUGCUUUUAGAAAAUUCCCACCGCCCACCUCAAGGAAUUUCUUCGCGCCUCCUCGGUGAUGGCAUUAGUGCGCCAGAAGAAUCGCUGGCGCGACGCUCUUCGCGCUGACGGCGCAAACUCCUCAAGGACAUCACGGCUUUAUCGGCUUAUCAAGAGACGACAUACCCGGCUACGCUGUGGGAAUUAAAUAAUUAUCACGUCAUACCUCGCGGAGAUUUAUUUAUAGAAACUCCGAGAACUCCCCCCCCCCCCCCCCCGGAGCUCCAGACGUCUGCAUCCGUUGAAUUGAAAUCGGCGGGCAUUCAUUUCCACGAUAAAAAUUUGACCGUACUACGGGCUUGUUUGGUCACAAACAGACUCGGCAGGGUGUCCAUGGCCGUGAAAACACUCGAGACCGCAAAAUCGUUAUGAUACAUAAUAAUAGGGGUUGACGGACGGCAGGCAUUCAGGUAGCUGGGACUCUUUGUGCAGCCAUUGGAAACUACCUUAACGCUUAAGCAGACUGUAGGGUUGGAACAAGGCGGUUCGAAGAGAGGUGUAAAGGUGAAUGGCG